rnacentral:lncRNA from 1 species
CACCACUUGGAGAAACCCUGUAGAGAAAGUUCGCAUUCAAAGUCAUGGAUGACGGCGCGAUAUCAAUGAACACAGAUCUCUUGGCAAGAUACUUCACAACAUCAAAUUCACUUGUACGAUGACUUAUGUUUUCUUAUGUGUUUCUAGAGCCCGCAUCAUUGUUUCAUGGCAUCUUCAUAGACAGUCUCAAGUCGUUCCCCAGUGUUAGGUUGACUUUCUUCAAGAUUUAGCCAUCUCAGAUCAGUUAAAGGUUGCAUUUGAACUUAAACAUCCAAUGCGUUUGAUGGAAUGAUCGAUAGUCUCUUCGUGGUAACCACCUUUUUCAUCAUGAGUCCUGAGGUAUUGAGGCUUUAAAGGCUUCAUGUAACAUGUAGAUACCAAUCCUUUUUGUAGCAAACUUGGAAGCAACGUUGCCUAAGUCAUAUGUACGGGAGUGAAGCUCGCAGCCUUUUCUUUUGAUCAAAUACUUUCCUACCCAACGGAUUAGUAAGAAGUUGAGUUUGAUUCAAAUAUCUCAUUCGUCUUUCAACUAUUUCAAAUGAAGGGUAGGCCAACGAGAUUUGAGUGAUAGGAGGUGAUCAAACUCUUUGCUUUCUUCUCUUCGCAAGCUUAAACCCGACUUGUUCAUAUUUGCUAUCAUGGUACAACCUUGCAUGACCGUUCCAAUCCUCACACUGACUUCAAUUCUUUCUUCAAGUAUCCUCAGGUCCACAAAGUUUGAGGAACACUACUCACCAUGGUCUCAUAGAAGGGUGAUCGCAGUGUAUUCUUCGAAUGAUUUUGACUGCUUUUUCACCAUACUCUGUAGUUGUAAUCUAUGCAAUGCCACAUUCGUGUUAUAUUUGAAAUGCUUCAAGAAAACACCCACUAGAUCCUCCCAAUACUGGAUGCACGAACAUUCAAGAUGAUAGCCUCGGUUUAAUGGCAUGCCAACCAAUCUACCUUGUAAGAAAUGAAUUAGCAACCCUCCAUCAUACGCACACACAGUCGUUUUCUUGUUUUACGCCAUGAGAUGGGUCUUAAGACAAAUGGUCCCUCUAUAUUUCUCACCUUUGGAAAAUUUAAACUUUUAGAAUGUAUCAUCAGAUCCGGGAUUAAGCAAGCCUUGCAACAUUUUCAGACCUAGCGCUUCAUUCACCUUCUAUGGCUGUCAUCCUUUUUCAGCAUUUCGAAUUUACCCCUAUCAACCUCAACAUUCACUGGUGUGCAAACAGGGAAAGAAUAUUUCAACUCCUAUUGCCUUGUCAUCGUCAUGCUCACAAUACUUGAUUAAAGCAUUUUCCUAGGGACCAUGAAAGUGGUUGCCCCAAGCUUGUUCUCCACUUCAACUUCGUUAUCUUCUGCCUUUUGAGUGUGAACUUGCCCUUGAGUAUGCUCUUGAGGGUGAAGUGUAAUUUAGAGGAAGACCAUGUAAGGGAAAUUUUGGGUCUNUGAUACUCUUUGCUACAGCCGUGAUGCACACGAAUCUCCGAGGUUUUUCAAGGGGACCUCCAAGGCUUGGCUCAUUUGCCCCUUCAAUUGUUGGAUAUCAACUUUUCAUCCCCUCUUGAACUUCUCCUUGGUUCUCCAAGAUUUGGUAACUGGUUCGAGUCCUUUAGGGUAUCUUGNNNN